rnacentral:rRNA from 1 species
AUUGAACGCUGGCGGCAUGCCUUACACAUGCAAGUCGAACGGUAACGGGUCCUUCGGGAUGCCGACGAGUGGCGAACGGGUGAGUAAUAUAUCGGAACGUGCCCAGUAGUGGGGGAUAACUGCUCGAAAGAGCAGCUAAUACCGCAUACGACCUGAGGGUGAAAGGGGGGGAUCGCAAGACCUCUCGCUAUUGGAGCGGCCGAUAUCAGAUUAGCUAGUUGGCGAGGUAACGGCUCACCAAGGCAACGAUCGGUAACCGGCCUGAGAGGGCGAUCGGUCACACCGGAACUGAGACACGGUCCGGACUCCUACGGGAGGCAGCAGUGGGGAAUCUUGCGCAAUGGGCGAAAGCCUGACGCAGCAACGCCGCGUGGAGGACGAAGGCCUUUGGGUUGUAAACUCCUGUCGGCUGGGAAGAAAUCAUACGGUGCUCAUACCACCGUGUGUUGACUGUACCAGCAAAGGAAGCCCCGGCUAACUCUGUGCCAGCCGCCGCGGUAA